AGCUGCCUCUGAAAGGGUCUGUGUUCCUAUGAGCAUCCUGAGAGGAGGUGGACGUGAGCAGAGAAACAUGGUCGGGGCCUGUGCCCGGUGAGAGCUCAGGGCAUCAUGGGCUUCAGUGUGGACACUCCCAGGCUCGGCCGUCUUUUCCCCUGUCCCUUUGUCCUUGUCCCUUCAGGAGAACUUUCUUCCACCAGGCCCUGUGAUCUCAGGGACUGAGAAGUCCCCUGGGCCUUGUCCUGUAUUCAGGAGCUUGGUUAGCAAGGGCCUCCUGUCACCAGGUAGCCUACGCUCCAGCCUUGGUCCCAUCAGUAGUCCCUUUAUUCUGUGUUUGUAUUUGGCCUUUUUAGAUUUUUUUUUUAAAUACGGACUUUUCAUUUACAUGUGUGAAAUUACAGUCUCAUUUUGCUCUGGGUGUCCCUCGUCUGCCACAGCCACCAGAGUCAUUUGCCUGUCAUUGUUCCCACAUGUCCGGGGGUCCCUGCUCACAGAUUCUCAGUGGUAUCAAGAGAUCCAUUUUCAGCCUCAUCCAGCUCUUGCCCUCCUUCCAGAGAUGUUNUUUUUUUUUUUUUUUUUUUUUUUUUUUUUUUUUUUUUCGACUUUUCAGGGCCACAGCCAGGGCACAUGGAGGUUCCCAGGCUAGGUGUCUAAUCAGAGCUACAGCUGCUGGCCUACACCACAGCCAUAGGAACGUGGGAUCUGAGCCACACCUGUAAACUACACCACAACACACAGCAGUGCUGGAUCCUUAACGCAGUGAGCAUGGCCAGGGAUCGAACCCGCCACCUCAUGGUUCCUAGUCGGGUUCAUUUCCACUGUGCCACCACGGGAACGCCUGGAUGCUUCUUUCUAACUUUUCCCCAUCCUUUUGUGGGAACGAGAUUCUGGAAGUAGCAACGAGGAGGGACCCAGUGGUUUUCCAUCUUGACCUCAUUCUUGCUGGAUCUGGAUCUUCUCUGCAGCCUGCCCCCUCCUCUGCCCUGAGCUCUCCUCAGCCCAGUGCCGGCUCCAAUCCAAGCCCAUGCAUUUCGAAAGCAGAGUCUGAUAGACUCACAGCAGCGGGAAUCUAGGGCCAGAAGCACAGGAGCAUCUUUCCUGGGGAGAGAAAGAGCGCUGUGUGGGGUGAGCAGACGGACUGGUCUGGCAGGGAGGGGACAUCAGCCCUUGUGAGGAAAGGACAGGCGGCCCUGAUGUCACCGGGAAUGGACAUUGUGCUGGAGCUGCCACCAGACAGCACGUGGCCCGAGGGCAUGUUAGUAAAAGUACUGUCCCUAGAAGAGGGAGGGGCUGUGCACUGAUCCAUCAUUCAACUCUGUUGAACGGAUAUUUGUUGUGCGCCAGACACAGGACACACGCUUUCGGCAUCUGGGAGACCUCAGGGACGUCGCCAGAGACCAAACUUGUCGGCGGUGUGGAGUCUCUGUCCUGGGGGAGGGGCAGAGUGGACACUAUAUGCCUCGUCAGGGAGGGACGUGUCACAUCGGAGGUGGGAGGGGCCUUGGGGAAGGUGACCCCGAGUAGAAGUGUGUGGGGACAGGGUGGGGGGUGAGUGUGGGCCUUCCUGGGAGGGUGACCUUUGAGUCCAGAUGGGAAGGACCCGAAGGAAAUGCCCGCGAGGCUGUGUGGGGACGUUCUCUGCAGGCAGGGGACCCUCCUGGGCGAAGGCACAAGGACAGGAGGGGGUAUGUGUUCAGGGAGGAGCCAGGAGGCCGGCGAGGCUGCCGGAGGGAGGCGCUGGGAUGAGACCCACUGUCCGGCCAGAUCGUGUGGCCUCCCCAUGUGAGAAGGGUUUUGAUUUUGUCUCAGAUGUGGCGUUUGUAAGAUGGUUUGACCGAAGAUCAGGCUGGAGUGAGUGCUCUCUAGAAGCAUGGGUCUGGCUGCUGCACAGACUCAGGAGGGGAAGGUGAGCGACACCGUCAAGGAAGGAAACAGAGCAGCAUCCAGGCUGGAGGAGAUGCUGCUGGUCGGGGCGAGAGCAGGGAAUGGACGAGUCAGUGACUGGAGUCUCGACACGUUCUCAGGAUGGAUUUAGAGCAUUUCCUCCUGGAUCAAAUCUGGACUGUGAGAAAGCAGAAAGAAGGAUGGCACCCCAAACUUGAGACUGUGCAAGUUGGCCUGUGGAAAUGGGGAGAUUCUGGGAGUUCCCGUCGUAGCGCAGUGGUUAACGAAUCCAACUAGGAACGAUGAGCUUUUGGGUUUGAUCCCUGGCCUUGCUCAGUGGGUUAAAGAUCGGGCAUUGCUGUGAGCUGUGGUGUAGGUUGCAGACGUGGCUCAGAUCCCGUGUUGCUGUGGCUCUGGCAUAGGCCAAUGGCAACAGCUCUGAUUAGACCCCUAGCCUGGGAACCUCUAUAUGCCUCGAGAGUGGCCUCAGAAAAGAUAAAAAAAACAAAAACAAAAACAAAAAAAAGAAAAGAAAGAAAUGAGGAGACUCUGGAAGGAGCACAUUUGAGGAGGUGGCAGCACCUGCACUCGGAUUAGGAACGUGGCCACUGAGUGGCAUGUACCCAUCUGGGCUUUAGGGGAGGUGCCUUGGCUGGAGAAAUAGAUGGAGGAGGUGACACCCAGUGAAUGAUAUUGAAAGCUCUAAGAACACACGAGGUCACCAGGGGAGAACUGACUACAGAAGAAGAAGGACAAGGAUUAAACCCUGAACCCCCAGCGCUGGGCGAUCUGAUCAGAGCGCACACACCUGAGCAGACUGUGCGGAUCUGACCCCGGGUCCAGACACCACAGGCCCAGGGAGUCCCCAUCCCCACUCGCACAGGACUCAGCUGGACGCCUCGUUAGAUACAGUCGGUCUUGAUAAGAGGGUGAGCUUCUGCCUUUACAGCAAGGUUGGUGCUGAUGCCCUGCUGGUCUCCGGGUCACACUUUGAGCGGCAAGACGGUCCCCAGGAUUCCCACGUGCCUGUGCCUCAGUCUCCCCUUUAGAGCUUGUUAAUCAGGGUUCCUGGAUCCAUGCCCAGGGUGCUGAGAUGGGGGGUCUGGGAAGAGGCCUGAGGAUGUGUAAUAAUCCCGACCAGCAGGCCUGAGGCUCUGUCAGAGUGAGAUCCACGGAGGUCAGUGGUCAGAGAGGGAUCAGCCUGGAGUGGGCUCUUCAAUACACAUUCCCAGGUGUUUUCCUGGAAGCAAAUGACAAGACGUGUCCUCUCUACCCUGGGGUAUAACCAGGUGGCUGACUUAGGAGGUUCUCGGCUCAGCAUAAAGAAAGCCUCAGAGUUGCUAAGAGAAUCGAUUUAAAUUCACACACACACACACACAAAUGGUAAAGAUGUGACAUCACACAGUUGUCGGCUGAGGCGAUGACGAUAAUCACUUUGCUGUACGUAAGUGUUUCCUAUCGACAAUUUGUACACUAUAAACUUAAUAUUUAUAUCAAUCAUAUCUCAAUAAACUAGGGGGG
rnacentral:lncRNA from 1 species